AUGCCCUAUCCUGACCAUUCACACAGCCCAGUCACUCAGCCAUAUCCUGACCAUUCAACCAGUCCAGUCACUCAGCCCUAUCCAGACCAUUCAACCAGUUCAGUCACUCAGCCCUAUCCAGACCAUUCACUCAGACCUAUCCUGACCAUUCAACCAGUCCAGUCACUCAGCCCUAUCCAGACCAUUUACUCAGCCCUAUCCAGACCAUUCACUCAGCUCUAUCCAGACCAUUCCCCCAGUCCAGUCACUCAGCCCUAUCCAGACCAUUCACCCAGUCCAGUCACUCAGUCCUAUCCAGACCAUUCACCCAGCCCUCUCCAGACCAUUCACCCAGCCCUAUCCAGACCAUUCACCCAGUCCAGUCACUCAGCCCUAUCCAGACCAUUCACCCAGUCCAGUCACUCAGUCAUAUCCAGACCAUUCACCCAGCCCUAUCCAGACCAUUCACCCAGCCCUACCCAGACCAUUCACUCAGUCCAGUCACUCAGCCCUAUCCAGACCAUUCACCCAGUCCAGUCACUCAGCCCUAUCCAGAACAUUCACCCAGUCCUAUCCAGACCAUUCACACAGCCCAGUCACGCAGCCCUAUCAAGACCAUUCACCCAGCCCAGUCCCUCAGCCCUAUCCAGACUAUUCACCCAGUCCAGUCACUCAGCCCUAUCCAGACCAUUCACUCAGCCCUCUCCAGACCAUUCACCCAGUCAAGUCACUCAGCCCUAUCCAGACUAUUCACCCAGUCCAAUCACUCAGCCCUAUCCAGACCAGUCACCUAGUCCAGUAACUCAGCCCUAUCCAGACCAUUCACACAGCCCAGUCACUCAGCCCUAUCCAGACCAUUCACACAGCCCAGUCACUCAGCCCUAUCCUGACCAUUCAACCAGUCCAGUCACUCAGCCCUAUCCAGAGCAUUCACACAGUCCAGUCACUCAGCCCUAUCCAGACCAUUCACCCAGUCAAGUCACUCUGCCCUAUCCAGACCAGUCACCCAGUCCAGUCACUCAGCCCUAUCCAGACCUUUCACCCAGUCCAGUCACUCAGCCCUAUCCAGACCAUUAA
rnacentral:lncRNA from 1 species